UACAGAGGGUGCUAGCGUUGUUCGGAAUCAUUGGGCGUAAAGGGCGUGUAGGCGGUUUGUUAAGUCUGGCGUGAAAGCUCCUGGCUAAACCGGGAGAGGUCGUUGGAUACUGGCGGACUAGAGGACGGUAGAGGCGUGUGGAAUUCCGGGGGUAGUGGUGAAAUGCGUAGAGAUCCGGAGGAACACCAGUGGCGAAGGCGACACGCUGGGCCGUACCUGACACUGAUACGCGACAGCAUGGGGAGCGAACGGG
rnacentral:rRNA from 1 species